AUGGGUUAUGGCAUGAGUAGGCUACAGGGAUCCAGUGAGCCUGAAGGGCAGAAUAGUGAUGGAUCUAGUUCAGUUGAAGUGAAAAAUGAUUUCUCAAAAUUACAUAAUGAUAUUUUCCAUAUGACUCGACUAAGAUCAGGACCUAGUGAAAGCAUCCGCAAGUCCAUGGAUAGAGUCUCAGUAACAAGGUUGUUACGUGGAAGGGAAGUUAAUUCUUCAGGAAAUGGAAAGUUCUCUCCAGUUGAUCGUGCAUUCGUUCUUGGUCAUUAUCUUCCAGUGGAUGGUCCUGAAACGGUGGAUACGAUGGAUUCACGAGCUUAUGUUUCACAGUUUUCUGCCGAUGGUUCUCUUUUUGUUGCUGGUUUUCAGGGAAGCCACAUAAGAAUAUAUGAUGUCGAUAAAGGUUGGGAAAUACACAAGGACAUUCAUGCUAGAAGUUUGAGAUGGACAAUUAGUGAUGCAGCGUUAUCACCUGAUCAAAGGUUCCUCGUCUACUCUAGUCUGGCACCCAUUAUCCAUAUUGUCAAUGUUGGCACUGCUUCAAAAGAAUCAUAUGCUAAUGUCACUGACAUCCAUGAUGGAUUAGAUUUUUCAGAGCAUGAAGAUGUUAGAUAUUCAUUUGGACUCUUUUCUGUUAAAUUUUCCACUGAUGGGCGGGAGCUUGUUGCUGGCAGUAAUGAUGAUUCAAUAUAUGUCUACGACCUUCAGGCAAACAAAGUGACAUUGCGUUUGCCUGCCCAUACAUCUGAUGUCAACACAGUAGCAUUUGCUGAUGAAUCUGGUAACCUACUUUAUUCUGGAAGCGAUGAUAACUUGUGCAAGGUCUGGGACAGACGUUGUUUGUCCACAGGGGAAGCGGCUGGGGUUUUGACUGGACAUCUGCAUGGCAUUACUCAUAUUGACAGCCGUGGAGAUGGUAGAUGUUUCAUAUCAAAUGGAAAAGAUCAAGCUAUUAAGAUGUGGGACAUCCGGAAAAUGACAUCCAAUGCUGAUGGUUCCGAAAACAGAGUCCCUGCCUGGGACUACAGAUAUUCAAGAUAUCCACAACAGUACAAGCAACAAAAGCAUCCACAUGACCAGUCAGUAGCUACAUACCGGGGCCAUUCAGUUCUCCGUACAUUAAUUCGUUGCUAUUUUUCUCCCACAUAUAGCACAGGACAGAAGUACAUAUAUACAGGAUCUUAUGAUGCUAGUGUCUGCAUCUAUGAUGUGGUAAGUGGGUCGCAGGUUGCCAAACUGCAAGGACAUCAUCAUUUGGCAGUUCGAGACUGCAGCUGGCAUCCGUCCGAUCCAAUGCUUGUCAGUUCAUCAUGGGACGGCCAGAUCGCCAGAUGGUCCAGGACUCGCUCCAAGCAGGAUACUUGUGAAUCCGAUUAA
rnacentral:rRNA from 1 species